rnacentral:rRNA from 1 species
UAGGGAAUCUUCCACAAUGGACGCAAGUCUGAUGGAGCAACGCCGCGUGAGUGAAGAAGGCUUUCGGGUCGUAAAACUCUGUUAUUGAAGAAGAACGUGUGUGACAGUAACUGGUCAUGCAGUGACGGUAUUCAAUCAGAAAGUCACGGCUAACUACGUGCCAGCAGCCGCGGUAAUACGUAGGUGGCAAGCGUUGUCCGGAUUUAUUG